AUGCCGCCCAUGGCGGCGGGGGCGCCGGAUCUGGCGCUGGGCCACGCCCAGCGGGAGGACCGGCCAGUGGUGGGUGGCUACUCUGGACAGGAGUGGAGCACCUUAAGAAGACGGGGGAGGGAGAUCCUUCGCCAUGCUCGUGAUCCGGAGGCUUGCCUGCGUCAUAUGCGGGAUAAAGUGAGUAAGUUUUUCAAUUCAGAGCUAGGCAAGGGGGAUUUGAAGGUGGCCAUGGCUGGGAUGACCGGCGCGGUGACGGAGGCGAAGUUCACGGACUCUGAUUUUGCCAUGAAAGAUGCGGAUCCGGCGAGUAAAGGGGCGGAAGAAACUGCAGUUUCCCUAUGCGUUAAAUCCAAUUUGACCACGGUUAAGGAGGGGCUCCUGGACGAGAUUAAUUUGGGGAUUAAUUCUGUUGAUUUGAGGGCGAAAUUUGGGGGUGAAGACAAGUAUUUGAGGGGCGAGUUUCAGGUUAUGCAACAGGCCAUUUUUCAGUUUCAGCAAGUGUGUUCGUUUCCUGCUCUCUGUUCUUUGUGUCUGAACCAGGUGAACCAGGGGAGGAUGGCAUCCGACAGGGAUCAGCAGCCACCCAACAUGGAAGCUACACGGCUGAAGCCUGCUGGUGCCCAGGGUGAUGAGCUCGGCGCUCCGGCGGUGGACUUGUCCACCCCCCUGCCACAGAGGGGAACCGCUGCUGUUGGGGGUCCGACUGGACUGAUGCUGUCCAUCACCCCCAGCGCCACCAUUGGCUUCUCGGCAGUCCCACAAGAUCCUCCGGCUCCUCGUAGGCAAGGCAAGCAAGUGGCCAUGCUGGCAGACGAGGAGGACGUGCCAAUCGUCAUCGACAUGGAGGCGGCCAUACAGGCAAUGAAGGGCAAGCUCGUCGUGGCUCGGGUGCUGUCGCAGUACCCGGUGGACCACAACGCCGUCAUCAACAGCUUGCGAGGGGCGUGGAGGCUCCGUGGCACUGCGGUCCCUCAACGGGUCACGAGCAGCGAUGGGCGCUUCGUCGUCACGUUCUCCGAGGAGGGGGACCGGCAGCGUGUUCUUCAAGCUGGGUCGUGGCACUACCAGAACGACGCAGUGCUCAUCAAGGACUUCGACGGCGUGGGUAACCCUGUGGACGUGCGCCUAGAUUCUUUAAGUAUCUGGGUGCAAAUUCAUAGGUUGCCCAUCAUCCUCAAGACUGAAGACAUGGGGUGGAAGCUUGGAAAGAAGCUCGGCACCGUCCUCGCCGUGUCGCACCGCAACAAUCAAAUCGUUGACGAGCAUCUCCGUGUUCGUGUUCAGCACCCUGUGGAGAAGCCAUUGAGGAAGAAUGUCGACAUAACCCCAAAAGUGGUGGGACACACGACAGAGAAGUUCUGCAGCAUGCCCAAAGAGCUGCGGAAGGCGUCCUACUCCACCGACAUAAGGGCGCCUCCGUAUUGGGCCUCUGCUCGUAGACAAAUCGAUUUUGGGAAGAAGCCGGUGAAGGACAAGGUGAUCACGGAGGUGGCCUCGGUGGUCAAAAGACUAUACUUGUCUGCUGCUGCAGAUACGACUACGGCGUCAGCUUUGGUGGACGGUUCUGCUCCGGUUGCCACUGACGCACCAAACGCAUUGGAGCAGCUUGUGCUCGUUGGCGGGGGUACCAACAACUCCAGCAAUGGGCCCCCUGUUCAGUUUGCUACUGGAGGCCUGGAGGCGUCCAAUGACAUGGCUGGAGCACUCCUCAACACCAACUCAGGAGCUCCGGCUGGUCAAAUGAGUGAGCUGAUGGAUAAGGGACCUGGGGAGCACCUCCACUCUAACCUGGGUGCUCCUGGGUCUCCUACUGCUGCUGCUAUGGCGUCUAUGCAGAAGCAGCCGCAGAUGGGGGAUGUACAGCCUAUGGAUCAGGCGAAGGCUAAAGCUCAUGGUGGUCGCAAGGGUGCUGCUGCUGAUGGCGUACAACAGCGUGCUCUGGCUACUGCUGGAGUCCAACGAUGGAAGAGGCUUCAUCGAGAAGAGCAGGAAGAGAAGGAGAUGGUGCAAUCUGCAUGUGCUAAACAUGUGGUUUUUGGCAUCCCCACGCCACCAAACAGCGGCAGCGAGCUCUCCAGUCGCAAGAUGAUUUUUGCUGCCAUGCUUGAGAGUACGGCAGGUAGCAAGAGGCGAUCCCCUGAUGACAAAGACUUCGUGUUAAGCAUGAAUAGUACUAGUACUGAAAGUCUAGAGGUUAGGGAUGCUAUGGAUGUGAGUAUGAAUUGUAAAAGAGUGUGUGUUGAGAGAGUUGGUACUAGAGUAGGCAUAGAUGGGUCUACUAUUCAUGUAACUGAAGAGGUAGAUGGGGGAGUGGAGGUGGAUCAGGACAAAAGAAGAGAGUCUGUAGGGGAUGAAAAAGAUGUAGAGGAUGGAAAAGAUGUAGGGAACAAUACUAAGGAAGCAACCGGCCCUGGGGCUGCUGGUCAACUGACGGGCGAGCAUGAUAUCGCCCGUCAGGAGCCAUGA
rnacentral:rRNA from 1 species